UACGUAGGGGGCGAGCGUUGUCCGGAUUUAUUGGGCGUAAAGAGCUCGUAGGCGGCUUAGCAAGUCGGGUGUGAAAACUCCAGGCUCAACCUGGAGACGCCACUCGAGACUGCUAUGGCUGGAGUCCGGUAGGGGACCACGGAAUUCCUGGUGUAGCGGUGAAAUGCGCAGAUAUCAGGAGGAACACCGGUGGCGAAGGCGGAUCUCUGGGCCUUACCUGACGCUCAGGCGCGAAAGCUAGGGGAGCGAACAGG
rnacentral:rRNA from 1 species